rnacentral:piRNA from 1 species
AACACAGUCUGUGCUGGUAUCUGUC